rnacentral:misc_RNA from 1 species
GCAUAGUAUCAAGUGUCGCGAUGUGACCCGCGAAAGAGACACUGUGCGAGCGCUACUGUACUGGAAACAGACUCAUGUGUUCAUUUCGCGAGAAAAAUGGCCCAAGAGUUUUCUGUUGUUACCUCAAGCUAUGUCAAUUUACAAAUCACAAGCACUCUUAACAAUUUCCCAUCGGAGAAGCGAUUUCAAAAGGAUGUAACUAUCGGGGCACUGAAGAGCAAGUUGGAGCUGGUGACUGGCUCAGCGUCCUCAGCCAUGGAACUCCAACUCUUCAACAAAGAGGGUCAGCUAGUGGUGGUUAUGAACGACAAUGACAAAAUGUUAGGUUUCUAUCCCGUGGAAGACGGCAUGAGGAUCCAUGUGCAAGACAGCGAUCCAAACAGGUUACGAGGGGAAUUUGAAGAUCUCUCCAAAGUUGAAAAGUAUGAGAUCACAGAUGAAGAUUACGCCAAAAGAACUGAUUCCGUUCUGGCCUUCAAGAAGAAGCACAAAAUCGGCCAGUUCAAGGAAGUCGACCCUGAGGAGGCUUCCAAGCAGGCAGCCCUUAAGGAGGCCAAGGAAGCAGAGGAAGAGAGGAUAGCGGGAGCAAUCGAAGUUGGGGCCAGGUGUGAGGUCAACAUGCCCAGUGCCCCACCUGUCAAGAGAGGGACAGUCAUGUUUGUUGGGAAAACAGAUUUCAAGCCAGGGUUCUGGAUUGGUGUCAAGUAUGAUGAACCACUAGGGAAGAAUGACGGAAGUGUCCAAGGCAAGAGGUACUUUGAGUGUCGGCCCAAAUAUGGUGGCUUUGUCAAACCGCAGUUUGUGACAGUGGGGGAUUUCCCGGAGGAAGAUCUGGACUUGGACGAUGAUGAGAUGUGAACACCGAACACCAACUGAAAGAGGUGAAACUGAAGCACCUUGAAGCCUGCGGAGAGACUACGUACCUUCUCC